AGAGUUUGAUCAUGGCUCAGAUUGAACGCUGGCGGCAGGCCUGACACAUGCAAGUCGAGCGGCAGCGGGAAAUAACGUAAGUUGUUUUGCCGGCGAGCGGCGGACGGGUGAGUAUAAUCUGGGGAUCUGCCUGGUGGAGGGGGAUAACUAUUAGAAACGAUAGCUAAUACCGCAUAAAGUUGACUGGCUUCUGUUAUUCAACCAAAAUGGGGGACCAAUUGGCCUCAUGCCAUCAGAUGAACCCAGACGGGAUUAGCUAGUCGGUGAGGUAAUGGCUCACCGAGGCUACGAUCCCUAGCUGGUCUGAGAGGAUGGCCAGCCACACUGGAACUGAGACACGGUCCAGACUCCUACGGGAGGCAGCAGUGGGGAAUCUUGCACAAUGGGCGCAAGCCUGAUGCAGCCAUGCCGCGUGUGUGAAGAAGGCCUCCGGGUUGUAAAGCACUUUCAGCGGGGAAGAAGCUUUUAGUACAAAUAAUGCUAAUUGCAGACGUUACCCGCAGAAGAAGCACCGGCUAACUCCGUGCCAGCAGCCGCGGUAAUACGGAGGGUGCGAGCGUUAAUCGGAAUAACUGGGCGUAAAGGGCAGGUAGGCGGCGCGUUAAGUCAGAUGUGAAAUCCCCAGGCUCAACCUAGGAAUGGCAUUUGAAACUGGCGUGCUAGAGUUUUGUAGAGGGGGGUAGAAUUCCAGGUGUAGCGGUGAAAUGCGUAGAGAUCUGGAGGAAUACCGGAGGCGAAGGCGGCCCCCUGGACAUAUACUGACGCUGAUGUGCGAAAGCGUGGGUAGCAAACAGGAUUAGAUACCCUGGUAGUCCACGCUGUAAACGAUGUCGAUUUGUAAGUUGUUGUGAAAACGAUGGCUUGCGGAGCUAACGCGUUAAAUCGACCGCCUGGGGAGUACGGCCGCAAGGUUAAAACUCAAAUGAAUUGACGGGGGCCCGCACAAGCGGUGGAGCAUGUGGUUUAAUUCGAUGCAACGCGAAAAACCUUACCUGGUCUUGACAUCCACGGAAUCCUGCAGAGAUGUGGGAGUGCCUGCAAGGGAGCCGUGAGACAGGUGCUGCAUGGCUGUCGUCAGCUCGUGUUGUGAAAUGUUGGGUUAAGUCCCGCAACGAGCGCAACCCUUGUCCUCUGUUGCCAUCGCGUUAAGGCGGGAACUCAGGGGAGACUGCCGGUGAUAAACCGGAGGAAGGCGGGGACGACGUCAAGUCAUCAUGGCCCUUACGACCAGGGCUACGCACGUGCUACAAUGGCGGAUACAAAGUGAAGCAAACUCGCGAGGGGAAGCGAAACACAGAAAGUCCGUCGUAGUCCGGAUUGGAGUCUGCAACUCGGCUCCAUGAAGUAGGAAUCGCUAGUAAUCGUAAAUCAGCAUGUUACGGUGAAUACGUUCCCGGGCCUUGUACACACCGCCCGUCACACCACGGGAGUGGGUUGCAAAAGAAGCAGAUAGCUUAACCUUCGGGAGGGCGUUUGCCACUUUGUGAUUCAUGACUGGGGUGAAGUCGUAACAAGGUAACCGUAGGGGAACCUGCGGUUG
rnacentral:rRNA from 1 species